ensembl:lncRNA
CCACCAAGCCAGGGGCCCAGGAGAGGGGAACCCACCAAAAAAACCACAAAACCCCACCGAUCCCUACUUAUUCCCUGUAAUUGCAGCACAUUCUGUAGGUGCAUCCCGCCAAAAAUACGACCCUCCGACUCUGGUUUCCUCAAACAUGAUCGCUACACUCCAGCCCACGAAUUUAAGAUCCAGGAAUGACCGGUGGGUGAGCUGAAGAUGAGGUGGGCUCAAACGAUUGAGAAAUAAGAUCCCUUAUAUGAACCCGAAGGAGGGUGAUUUUGGAAAACAGUUAACUUUGCAUACCCAGAGGGAAAGGGUAUGUAUGGCCCUGAAAUGUACGUUCUUAAUCAUUUUCAGCCUGUUUCCGAAACCCGAUUAUAGGGACCAAAAUACAGCCCCCCCACUCCGCCCCAUGCCACCGCCCCCACCCCCCAACGCAGAUGUGUGGGGAAAGGAAGAAGGCGGAGGGGUUGGUGUCCGGAGGGAGGGGGCGCUUCUUCGACGUGGGAUAUUGUGACCUAGCAGCAGAAACCCUCCCGUUCUUGGGGCGCCGCAGGCGCCACUGGGAGACGCGGGGAGGCGCCCCGAGCCGCCGCAGGCCGGGGGCAGGGCUACCAGCGGUUCCGCCGCGGCCAGCGGCCACGCAGGAAAAACCCGCUUCCUCGCCCUGCAUCUGCUGACAAGCCGCCCGAGGUGUCUGCGCCGAGCGUGGCCACACUGAUACAGCUUUCUAGGAAAUAGCCCGGGGCGGGGGGGGGGCCGGGAGGGGGGCGAGAGAGGGGGUAGAUUGGGCUCCCUGUCUCUCCCCCAGCGCCAACGACACCACUCCUUCGUUUCCUCCGAGGCCCAAGAUCUCCCACCCCGGGUCCCUCGCCGGCACGCUCGCGGACCCUCCGGGUUCACGCCUCCAUCGCAGCCAGGGCUUUCUCCUCGAGAACUGGACUGCGGUGGAGACGCGGUCGGCUCCGACACGUGCUCCGACGCAUCCUCCGGUCAAAGCAGCUUUGGGAGGGGAUCCGGGGGCGUUUCCUCACCUCCUUCCUCCCGCCACCCCCCUCCCACCCUGCCCUCUGUGCUAUUUCACUCCGAGGGGGAAAGGAGCGGGCCCUGCGUCCCGGGUGCUGGCCGAGCUGGCACGUGCGGCGAGCGCCGCGUGGGUCGGGGCUCUCGCGACACCCCGAGGAGGGUGAAACUGGCUCCUAUGAGGAUUGAUGUUGGGCUUCACUCGCCUUCCAGAAGAUGCCCGGCAGACUGGACUUGAUCUCUACCCGCUCUGCCUACAUCUCCAGUCCUGGGCAGUCAGACCUGAUGCUCGGCGGUGACCUGAAAUGAGAAGAAACCUCUCGCCAAGCUCACCAAGAAGGUAGUAUUUGUUCCUCCGUGGUGGUUAAGCUAGGAAAGCAGACGCCUGGCUUUGAGUGCUUUGUUUUGUUUUUGUAAUGAGAUUUGAAACCUAAAGGAUUUUUUUUUUCAGAUUAUCCUUAAGCUCUUAGAAAUGAACUUUGGAAGAACUUCUCCAGACUCUGUAGGUGUUGGUCAAUGGACCUUAACAAACAGACCGAAAAGCCAGGAAGAAAUUGAGGCAGAAGGCACACCCUUCACCAAAAUAUUUGUUAUACUGACCCAGACACUUUCCCGUGGUGAUUCUUUAAACUGAGAGCUUUGCGGAUACAUUGUAAAUGGCUUCGUUCACUUGAAAGUGAGAUUCAUGUGUUCCAUUCAGAGAACCUGGUGAAGUGUAAUUGAUUUUGAAAUCCUCGAAGAGCAUAGCAUGUUCAAGCUGAAAGGAGCAUUUCAGGCUCCU